UGUUCAACAAAAAUAUGGGAAUAUUGAAAAUAACAUUGCGAAUUGAGGCCGAACAUCAGCAAGAACACCCCGCGAUAAAAUACAACUGGUCAAAAUUAUUAAGGCUGAUCGUCGCCAAUCUUUAAGAAAUUUGGCUUCUGAGUGGUCGCAGACAAUUGGCAAAACUGUCAAGCGAGAAUUACCGCGACCUCAUUUAAAAAAUAUUGGAUAAGGUUUUUAUAAAGCCAAGGAAAACCCCUUGCUUACGUUUCGUCAAAAAA